GUGAGGAAUAUUGGUCAAUGGACGGAAGUCUGAACCAGCCAAGUAGCGUGCAGGAUGACGGCCCUAUGGGUUGUAAACUGCUUUUGUAUGGGAAUAAAGUGCGGGACGUGUCCCGUUUUGUAUGUACCAUAAGAAUAAGGACCGGCUAAUUCCGUGCCAGCAGCCGCGGUAAUACGGAAGGUCCGGGCGUUAUCCGGAUUUAUUGGGUUUAAAGGGAGCGCAGGCUGGAGAUUAAGCGUGACGUGAAAUGCCGCGGCUCAACCGUGGAAGUGCGUCGCGAACUGGUUUCCUUGAGUGUAUUCGACGUCAGCGGAAUUCGUGGUGUAGCGGUGAAAUGCUUAGAUAUCACGAAGAACUCCGAUUGCGAAGGCAGCUGGCGAGGCUAUAACUGACGCUAAAGCUCGAAGGUGCGGGUAUCGAACAGG
rnacentral:rRNA from 1 species